GACGAACGCUGGCGGCAGGCCUAACACAUGCAAGUCGAGCGGAACGGCGGACGGGUGAGUACUGCCUAGGAAUCUGCCUGGUAGUGGGGGAUCCCGUCCGGAAACGGGCGCUAAUACCACAUACUAUCAGGUCAGCCUAGGUCGUAUUAGCUAGUUGGUGGGGUAAAGGCCUACCAAGGCGACGAUCCGUAACUGGUCUGAGAGGAUGAUCAGUCACACUGGAACUGAGACACGGUCCAGACUCCUACGGGAGGCAGCAGUGGGGAAUAUUGGACAAUGGGCGAAAGCCUGAUCGAGCCAUGCCGCGUGUGUGAAGAAGGUCUUCGGAUUGUAAAGCACUUUAAGUUGGGAGGCGUUACCAACAGAAUAAGCACCGGCUAACUUCGUGCCAGCAGCCGCGGUAAUAC
rnacentral:rRNA from 1 species